rnacentral:lncRNA from 1 species
UGUGUGUGUGUGUGUGUGUGUGUGUGUGUGUGUGUGUGUGUGAAAUGAUUGAUUUGUGUGUGUGUUGUAUAUAUAUGAAAUGAUUGAUUUGUUUUCUGCUAAUCAUUGCACUUGCAUUGCGAAAUUGUGAGAAAAUCUAGUCUUUGUUUCCAGAGACAUGGAAGUGACGAAAUUUCUUGAUCUAAAUUUGUGUAAUAUUUCUUUGAGUCAGAAAUAUACAUAAUUUGUAUCUCUGGCAACUUCCGAACUUUAGUUUUGUGUUGACGAUUUGAAUAUUUUGAAUAGAAAAUAUCGAGGGUUUUGAAAAUACUACAUACCGUGAAACAAACAACGGAUUAAAGGGUUUAGAGUGUGAAAAAAUUGAGGAUAGUAGUUGAACUAUUCAUUUACACAUAAAAGGAUAGUAGUUGAACUAUGGAGAGAUAUAGUUUGCUGGAUUUUUUUGCCGAACAAAUUUCAUAGACAUAGAAAAUGUGUAAUCUCUAGCAUUU